CGCAAUGCCCGAAAGGGUGACGAAGCGACGCCGCGUGUGGGAAGAAGGCCUUCGGGUUGUAAACCACUGUCGGGAGUUAAGAAAUGCAAGAAUGUUAAUAGCGUUUUUGCUUGACUAAGGCUCCGGAGGAAGCCACGGCUAACUCUGUGCCAGCAGCCGCGGUAAUACAGAGGCGGCAAGCGUUGUUCGGAAUUAUUGGGCGUAAAGAGCACGUAGGCGGCUAUAUAAGUCGGUUGUGAAAGCCUUCCGCUCAACGGGAGAACAGCAUCCGAUACUGUAUGGCUUGAGUGUGGGAGGGGAGAGCGGAACUUCUGGUGGAGCGGUGAAAUGCGUAGAUAUCAGAAGGAACGCCGGCGGCGAAAGCGGCUCUCUGGCCCAUAACUGACGCUGAGUGUGCGAAAGCUAGGGGAGCAAACGGGAUUAGAUACCCCGGUAGUCCUAGCCGUAAACGAUGGGCACUAAGUAGAGGGGUUUU
rnacentral:rRNA from 1 species